rnacentral:rRNA from 1 species
UACGUAGGGUGCGAGCGUUGUCCGGAAUUAUUGGGCGUAAAGAGCUCGUAGGCGGUCUGUCGCGUCGGUCGUGAAAACCUGCAGCUUAACUGUGGGCGUGCGGUCGAUACGGGCAUGACUGGAGUUCGGCAGGGGAGACUGGAAUUCCUGGUGUAGCGGUGAAAUGCGCAGAUAUCAGGAGGAACACCGGUGGCGAAGGCGGGUCUCUGGGCAGUAACUGACGCUGAGGAGCGAAGGCGUGGGGAGCGAACAGG